rnacentral:rRNA from 1 species
UGGGGAAUAUUGCACAAUGGGGGAAACCCUGAUGCAGCGACGCCGCGUGAACGAAGAAGGUAUUCGUAUCGUAAAGUUCUGUCCUAUGGGAAGAUAAUGACAGUACCAUAGAAGAAAGCUCCGGCUAAAUACGUGCCAGCAGCCGCGGUAAUACGUAUGGAGCGAGCGUUGUCCGGAAUUAUUUGGCGUAAAGGGUACGCAGGCGGUUUAAUAAGUCGAAUGUUAAAGAUCGGGGCUCAACCCCGCAAAGCAUUGGAAACUGAUAAACUUGAGUAGUGGAGAGGAAAGUGGAAUUCCUCGUGUAGUGGUGCAAUACGUAGAUAUUAGGAGGAAUACCAGUAGCGAAGGCGACUUUCUGGACACAAACUGACGCUGCGGUACGAAAGCGUGGGGAGCAAACAGG